AAGACAAGGAACUAUUUCCAUUAACGUUGCAGUACCGGCUUUAGUAAGCCUUUGCAGUAACACAGAUUCAAGGCUCCGUAGGAAGCUUUCAGAAAUUUCUUUUUGAAAUGGUAAAACCUGUCUAAAAAUAGCUACUACAUAGUAAAGAAAACGUUGCUCUUCAAUAGUUGAAGCAGAUCGUAAAUAGGGUUUUAAGAGGUGUAGAUAAGACAAGUCAAAGA